CCCCUCUUCUCUUCCCUUCCUGUGUAAGUUCUGGUUGUCCCCUCUCUUCUCUUCCCUUCCUGUGUAAGUUCUGGUAGUCCCCUCUCUUCCCAUCCUGUGUAAGUUCUGGUAGUCCCCCCCUUCCUCUUCCCUUCCUGUGUAAGUUCUGGUUGUCCCCUCUCUUCCCUUCCCUUCCUGUGUAAGUUCUGGUAGUCCCCUCUCUUCCCAUCCUGUGUAAGUUCUGGUAGUCCCCUCUCUUCCCAUCCUGUGUAAGUUCUGGUAGUCCCCUCUCUUCCCUUCCCUUCCUGUGUAAGUUCUGGUAGUCCCCUCUCUUCCCUUCCCUUCCUGUGUAAGUUCUGGUAGUCCCCUCUCUUCCCUUCCCUUCCUGUGUAAGUUCUGGUAGUCCCGUCUCUUCUCUUCCCUUCCUGUGUAAGUUCUGGUAGUCCCCUCUCUUCCCUUCCCUUCCUGUGUAAUUCUGGUAGUCCCCUCUCUUCCCAUCCUGUGUAAGUUCUGGUAGUCCCCUCUCUUCCCUUCCUUCCUGUGUAAGUUCUGGUAGUCCCCUCUCUUCCCUUCCCUUCCUGUGUAAGUUCUGGUAGUCCCCUCUCUUCUCUUCCUUCCUGUGUAAGUUCUGGUAGUCCCCUCUCUUCCCUUCCUGUGUAAGUUCUGGUAGUCCCCUCUCUUCCCUUCCUGUGUAAGUUCUGGUAGUCCCCUCUCUUCCCUUCUCUUCCCUUCCUGUGUAAGUUCUGGUAGUCCCCUCUCUUCCCUUCUCUUCCCUUCCUGUGUAAGUUCUGGUUGUCCCUUCUCUUCCCUUCCUGUGUAAGUUCUGGUUGUCCCUUCUCUUCCCUUCCUGUGUAAGUUCUGGUUGUCCCUUCUCUUCCCUUCCUGUGUAAGUUCUGGUUGUCCCUUCUCUUUCCUUCCUGUGUAAGUUCUUGUUGUCCCUUCUCUUCCCAUCCUGUGUAAGUUCUGGUUGUCCCCUCUCUUCCCUUCCUGUGUAAGUUCUGGUUGUCCCCUCUCUUCCCUUCCUGUGUAAGUUCUGGUAGUCCCCUCUCUUCCCUUCCCUUCCUGUGUAAGUUCUGGUAGUCCCCUCUCUUCCCUUCCUGUGUAAGUUCUGGUUGUCCCUUCUCUUCCCUUCCUGUGUAAGUUCUGGUUGUCCCUUCUCUUCCCUUCCUGUGUAAGUUCUGGUUGUCCCUUCUCUUUCCUUCCUCUGUAAGUUCUGGUU
ensembl:lncRNA